GAAAACCCAAACAAUACCUAUAAAACAACGUUUUAUAUACAGCCAUUACUCAUGUAUAAUGUUAUGAAUGCCAUUCCCUUCCUAUUUUCAGUCUCUUUUCCUUCUCCGUCUCAGCGUCGCCUUCUCCUCUUUAUGUUUUUUCUCUUCCCAAUUCUCUUAGUUUCAACCUAGAGAGGCGGAGACCCAUUUUCGUUUCUUCUCCUUCGGCUUCUUCUGCAGAUCCAGAUGCCCGCAAGCGUAAAUGAAGACAGAUACGCCUUAUUUUACAGAUGAAACUCGCGAAUCAUAUGUGACCUCUGAUCUCUGUCCUUGAUGCUUCGUGGAUACCAAAACACAUAUGGGUAUGCUGCUUGCUCUGGGUGUAUACUACUAGCUUUCUGAUCCUCGAUAAUGUUAUGGCUUUGUAUAAUUGAUUGUUGAUUAAUUUGUAAAUGGAAAUGGUUUGUUCUAGGUUUUAAACAAUUGCUGCUUGAUUUGCUUUUUGCACUUUCUAAUUGGGUUUUGAUUGAAAGAAUUACUGGGUGAUGUUGCAUCACAGGGGAUGAUACAUUUAGGUUUUUGCAAUUCUG
rnacentral:lncRNA from 1 species